rnacentral:rRNA from 1 species
AGCAGCCGCGGUAAUUCCAGCUCCAAUAGCGUAUAUUAAAGUUGUUGCAGUUAAAAAGCUCGUAGUUGAAUUUCGGGGUUAGUAGGUUGGUCAUGCCUCUGGUAUGUACUGGUCUCACUGAUUCCUCCUUCCUGAUGAGCCGUAAUGCCAUUAAUUUGGUGUUGCGGGGAAUUUGGACUGUUACUUUGAAAAAUUAGAGUGUUUAAAGCAAGCUAACGCUUGAAUACAUUAGCAUGGAAUAAUGAAAUAGGACGUUCGAUCCUAUUUUGUUGGUUUCUAGGAUUGACGUAAUGAUUAAUAGGGAUAGUUGGGGGCAUUAGUAUUCAAUUGUCAGAGGUGAAAUUCUUGGAUUUAUUGAAGACUAACUACUGCGAAAGCAUUUGCCAAGGAUGUUUUCAUUAAUCAAGAACGAAAGUUAGGGGAUCGAAGACGAUCAGAUACCGUCGUAGUCUUAACCAUAAACUAUGCCGACUAGGGAUCGGAUGAUGUUAAUUUUUUAAUGACUCAUCGGCGCCUUAAC